rnacentral:rRNA from 1 species
UACGAAGGUCCCAAGCGUUGUUCGGAAUCACUGGGCGUAAAGGGAGCGUAGGCGGCGCGGUAAGUCAGAUGUGAAAUCCCGGGGCUCAACCCCGGAACUGCAUCCGAUACUGCCGUGCUCGAGGAUUGGAGAGGUAGCUGGAAUUCUUGGUGUAGCAGUGAAAUGCGCAGAUAUCGGGAAGAACACCCGUGGCGAAGGCGGCUCUCUGGAACGCAACUGACGCUGAGACGCGAAAGCGUGGGGAGCAAACAGG